GACGAACGCUGGCGGCGUGCUUAACACAUGCAAGUCGAACGGAAAGGCCCUGCUUUUGUGGGGUGCUCGAGUGGCGAAAGGGUGAGUAACACGUGAGUAACCUGCCCUUGACUUUGGGAUAACUUCAGGAAACUGGGGCUAAUACCGGAUAGGAGCUCCUGCUGCAUGGUGGGGGUUGGAAAGUUUCGGCGGUUGGGGAUGGACUCGCGGCUUAUCAGCUUGUUGGUGGGGUAGUGGCUUACCAAGGCUUUGACGGGUAGCCGGCCUGAGAGGGUGACCGGCCACAUUGGGACUGAGAUACGGCCCAGACUCCUACGGGAGGCAGCAGUGGGAAAUAUUGCACAAUGGGCGGAAGCCAGAUGCAGCAACGCCGCGUGCGGGAUGACGGCCUUCGGGUUGUAAACCGCUUUCGCCUGUGACGAAGCGUGAGUGACGGUAAUGGGUAAAGAAGCACCGGCUAACUACGUG
rnacentral:rRNA from 1 species